rnacentral:misc_RNA from 1 species
AAGUCGUAACAAGGUAACCGUAGGUGAACCUGCGGUUGGAUCAUUACCGAAUAAUUUCUUUGGUAGUGUAAAUUACCUCCAACAUUUAUGCGCACUGUAUUUGUCUCUGGCGGCGGGGCAAAAGCUAUUCCCUCUGUGGGUUGCUGCUGCUGCCUGUCAGCUUCGUGCGGGAUAUGCUUAGUUUUGAGCACGUUUCCAGGAGCCGUGGACAAACCGCCAAUGGUUUCUUUUAACCAACCUUGUUUUGCGUCAUUCAGUCUAUGAAGUCAUAUAUGUUCUUAAUGUAACAAUCUGACAAACAACUUUUGGCAACGGAUCUCUUGGCUCUC